UACAGAGGGUGCAAGCGUUAAUCGGAAUUACUGGGCGUAAAGCGUGCGCAGUCGGUUAUUUAAGUCGGAUGUGAAAUCCCCGGGCUCAACCUGGGAAUUGCAUUCGAUACUGGAUGGCUAGAGUUCGGCAGAGGGAAGUGGAAUUUCAGGUGUAGCGGUGAAAUGCGUAGAUAUCUGGAAGAACACCAAUGGCGAAGGCAAUGUUCUGGCUCGUUUCUGACGCUCAGGUGCGAAAGCCAGGGGAGCGAACGGG
rnacentral:rRNA from 1 species